UUCUCCCCGGUUCUGACCGCUCAGCACAGUGCUGGCCCCACGUUCGCGGAGGCCCUUUGCCUAGAUCGGGCUUCCGCCCCUUCAGGCCACUGCCCCUCACCUGCCAAGGACCUCCGUUGCGAGGUCUCCCGAGCAUCGCUUCGCUUAAUGGCAGAAUGGCUGGUGCAGGCAUUGGAGAAGAUGGUCGGUAGCAGCUGUAAGCGUCUUGGAGUUGAACCUUUCCUGAUUGCUGUCGUUUCCUGGUGCAGACAGAUCUGGUUCGUCCUUUGUGAACAAGCACACCUCAGCUGUUUCUGCUCGAAUGCCGUGGGGCAGCGGUCUACAAUAAGAACAUCGACGGAAAGGAGGCAAAAGCGCGUUACAGAACUAGGUCUCCACUGCUGCAGGCGGGCAGCGCUCAGAGCCAGCCCGGGAGGUGCCACAAUGGGGCCGCGGCGCUCCGACUCUCCAAGCCCACAACCUGCACAGCGCUCCUUCCCUAGUCAAAGGACACGAGAACUCCCGCAGCCUCUGGGCCAAAGGUACGUUUCUUACAUUUUGAUUACUUGAGCCACGCGUGGGAUCUUCCAGACCGUCACCAGGAGGUGCACGCUCUCGUUCUCGUUGAGGAGCAGCUCGUCUCCCUUAGCCUUGCUUCUCGCGAAAGCCAGAAGGGCCUCCACCGCUUUCCUCACCUGCAACAACAAUAACAGCUGGAGCGGAGCGGAGAGAGCGGAGCUGAGCCUAGUCCGCCACCCCUCAGCACCUGCCCACGCUCCAGCUUCUGCUGCCCCUUCGCCAUGGCUCCACCCGCACACGUGCGGUCACCGCGCCUGCGCACUGCUUCUUUCCGGGCACGAUGCGGCCUGCCCGCCCCUUCCGCAGGCAAUGGCCUUCUGUCGCGUAGGGGCGGGGCGGGUAUGGGGAGGUUCUUUCUGCUGCUGGUCUGAGGGGGAGUGGUGUGCUGCUCCGGGCGGAGUACGGAGCGUAAUCUUUACUUCAGACCCCACUGCUCUGUUGCUCUUAGAUUGCCUUCCUGGUAUAUCUUUGAGAGUGGGUGGAACACUUGCUGCUCUUCAGCCCUUGGAACCUUUCUCAGUUUCCUUUCACAGCAUUAGAAGCUGUUGACCUUGAUGGCCCCAGAUACCCUCAAUUCUAGGUGAGCUUUUCUCCCGUGGCAAUGCCUACAUGCCUGAGCAACGUUUCUAGGUUCCUUCUUUGCAGCCUGUCCUUGGUUUUAUCUGGUUUUACCUGUAUUACUGACCUUUUGCACUGGAAUGCAGCUAUAAGGUCCCUAUUUAGCCAAGCCAAUCUCUUGAUAGAUUUGCUUGUCUUCCAGUGUGAGAGAGUGCUUCCAUUGCAAUUUGAAGGGGUUGUCUUCAAAGCUCUGCUGCCAGCCUUUCUGAGCACCUUUGCCUUUCAGAGCUGCCUCUAAUGAGACCCCACCUCCUGGUUGCCAAAAUCUCCCUCCUAAAGUCCAGGGUCUGUUCUCUGCUACUCAUCUUCUUCACACCCCUCAGCAUCUCAAAUUCCACUAUUUCUUUGUCACUGCAGCUGAGGCCACCAUUGAUUAUCACACAUAAAACCACUUAUUCCUUAUCUGUGAACCGUAAAAGUAGAAUUACUGCAUCUCUGUUCCAGUUUAGAAACUUACUGACUAAUUGGAAACAGCUUAGCCGUGAAAUGCUUGUGCCACCUAGUGGCUUUUUUUCUUCACGUAUCAGCAUAAUUUUCUACAUGCUCAGCGUGCUGGUAUACAGAGAAAGGAAUUAAAAUACCCUACUCAGGAAAAUCACCUUUGCGUAAUAAUGUUUUCACUCUGCUGGUAGUAUUCACAGUGGCUUCGAGGCUUCUCCAGCAUUGGUGACAACCUUUGGUAGCAGCUUUAGCACUGCUUAGUUGCAUCUUCACGGUUUGUAAUGUCACAGGCGUACGGGAAGUAGAAGAUUGCACACUAUUUGACUUAACGUAAGUUGCUGUAGAUAAGUUGUACUGAUUGAUACUAGUGAAAAAAACCCUUGAAAAUGGAAGUUUCACCUUUCUAUUGUGUGAUUUUUGGACAAGUACCAUAAAUGGUUGCUGUGUAGUUGUUUUAUGAAGUUCUUGAAGAGUACGUAAUCAGGCAGACAUUAAAAUCUUUUUAGCAUUGCUAGGAUUUAUGUGUACUGUGAUGCUGGCAGUGGUGUUUUAUAAUCUGAUAAUUAUAUUACCCUUUCUCCUAUCUUUGCAUAGGCCUUGCAAUUUUUUUUAGCUGAUGUUCAACAUAUUUUUGUAUGAUGUUAAAAUAAAACAGAAAAGAUAACUCUUUGAAAAUAAGCUAGACUGCUGUUGUAAGAGGUGAAAGAAGUGUGUUUGAAGCCUGACUGUACUAAGUCAGUACAGCAUUAUUAAGAUAAAGGGACUGUUAUUUUGAAUUACUAUUAUUAAUGACUCAAAUUAAAAAUUCUCACAUUUCAGUGUCAACCAAACACAUUUUUUCCCACAACUGAAGUUUGAUGUGACUGAAUUUCAAAAGAUAAAGUUUAACCAACUUAAUAGGACCAUUUUCUCUUGAGAGGUGUUUAAUAUAGUUCACAGAGCUGUCAUGGAAAAAUAAAUUAAUCCGUGGAUAAGAACAGUUUCAGCUUAGUACAUGAGUUGCAUGCAAUGGGUAUAAACUAUGAACGACAUGCUUUUAGUUUGGCAAAUUCACAGUUAUUCAAUUUUUAAAGGAAAUUAAAUAUUACUUUUGCAUAUGUUGUCCCUGCACACCAAACAUUCUCUGCUGUAGUGGUCAGUUUAGGUCUCUGCUUACAAAUGUGUGUAUUUUUCUCUAAGUCAUGUCACACUUAUGUAAACGUGAUGAUUUAAAAUUACAUACUUGCCAGCCAUUCCACAUUAUUACUUAAAUGUUGCUAAAUGAGACAGUAUUUCUAUAUCACCCUAAUUUUAUACUUUGUCCUGGCAAAGGGGAUGUACAAGCAGCAAUUAUUUCUGCUGCUAACAGAUCUUUGAGGUUUAAGAUUGGUUCUUCUACUGUGCAUUCCAAAAGUUCCAAUACCAGACUUGUAUUCCUCCAACUUAUCAGAUGGCAGAUGUAAAAUUCCUAAAUCUCACUUUAUAAAGUAUACUUGCAACAAAAGCAGCACAAAGAAUACAGAAAUUAAGAAAAAAAACAACAAAAGAACAAGUACACUUAAAGAGACUUCAAAAGAGGAUCCUCCUGCUACUUCUGGAGUUCAAACAGUGUUCUUUAGAUUGAGUUCUUCUGCGUAAGCAUCUAGCUAUAAUUUAAUUAACUGCCAGCUAGAUGGGUGCUUAUGUGCCAAGUUAUUAAAGAACUACUGUUUCAGGAGAACAGAGGCACCUGUCUUCGUGACACAAGCUGUACAGUUUUUUUUUGUUAAAAUCCUUUGCCUAUUAUCAGUUCUACAGGCUUAACAAAUGACAAGAACUCAGUCUCAAGUACAUUCUUUUCAUCCAAGUUUGUCUAUAAUCUAUUACUUUUCCUAUUCAGAAGAAUUUUUUGUAUCUCUGUAGUUAACUGAAGUGAGAUGUAGAAAAAUCCAGCUUAUGUUGGAAGUUGAGACUUUGAUGAAAGCCUGUUAUUAGAAGUUACAUAUAUGCACAACAGAUUUCACUUUUGUUAACAUAAGUUUCCAUUUUAUAUUAAGACUAGACUACUUUCUAGCAUUUCUUCAGAGGAAAAGAAAGAUUUUGUUACAGUUGUAGUGUGUUAAAAUAAACACAAGGAAAUAAACAGGUACACAAUAUAAAAUCUUCAGUAGUAACUCCAGUUUUGUUGGUAUAUUUUCCUUUAGCAAAUCCUCUGUGGGGCAUACAAAAACAGCAGAAUAAGUAAGAGCCUUUAAGUUUCAGUUCAGGAAGAAGACAGUCUUCUGGAGUACAUUUCAUCUGCUUUAACAUCAUCAUUUAAACACUCUGCAUUAAGAACAAAAAGGCCAGAGUAAUACAGAAUCAAAUACUUGGGACAAUGGAAACAAUCUUUUUUCUUAAGUAAUAUUCAUUAAUAAACACUUAUAAAAACACAUUUCUCAUAAUUAAAAGUUUGUAUGGACUGGUACCAUAAUUGGUCUAAACCAGAGAUUCUUCAUUGAGCAAUCUUUGCUGGGCCUUUAUGCCAUGAAAAACAUUUGUAUAAGGGGAUAAAGUUCACAAUCAGCAAGUAUCUCCACGGACAAGCUUCUUUAGAGCAGCCAUUUUUCUUACAACACUAUUAUACCAUCAUCAAUUGCUUACUGUUUAAGAAUACAGUUUACUCCCAGAACAAGUGUCUCAGGAAAUCAGUACCAUCAUGUGUUUGUGUAUUAGUUCCCAACUGUCUGCAAAGAUGACCAAGGUAACCAGAAUGAUUUCAGGUAGAUGGGUAAUGGUUAUGCUCAUCAACUGAUGGCUGUGCUCAUCACUCCAUUUAGUGUCCUUUACUUCUUGCAAGAUAUAGAAACAAGUAAUUUUUGUGUUGCAAAUUAAUUAGUACAGCUGCACACUUUAACAUUUAAUAAUUGUUACAUAUAUCAAGACUUCCAUUUAAAUGACAUACAGGGUCUUAAUUUACAUUGUUGUCAUUUGUUUUUGUAAUUUACAUCAUGGCUGUACAUUGAAGCCAUAUCUAUACUAUAAACUUUGGCCAAUAAUCAGGGAAAAUAGCUGCAAUCCUGAUGAGCACCGCACAGAAAAGUGCUGUGUAAAUGCAAUUGUACUGGGGGAAAAAACUAGAAUCCUUCCUUCCUUCCUGCAGAAACUCCAUCACAGUUUUGCUGGUGUAAGUUACAGCCCAGAACCCAGGAAUACUCUGCUGGUAUCACAGAUAAUAGCAAAGCUGCAGUGGCAGUAGUCCUAGGGUUGCCCGUAGCUUCAGUCCAAUUUUUCUUGUUUGCUUGCUUACUUUUUUUUUUUUAGCACUGUGGGUGCAGUUCCUGAUUUUUCUUUUUCCAUCUUCAAAGCAGCAUACCAGAUUUUGAUAAAAGGAAGUGCUCAAAAUGGUAGUUAAAAAAAAAAAAAAUUACAUUAGGGAAGCAGCAGCUAACAAUUAUUUCAAGCAAAGCUGCACUUUCCCCCUUUCCUCUAGAUCUAGCUGAACUCGCUAAUUGUAAAAAAUGAGUCUAUAAAAUGUAGAAUGGAGGUGUAAUGAAAAAAAUCUGAUUCUGUAAUUACUCAAAUAUAAUGUACUCUCAUAUCCUCUAUUUAAAAUGCAGGCAAUUUUUGUACAUCUAUACAUUUUCGUAUCAUUAUGGUAUAGAGUGUAAGUACUUUAUUCUCAAGUAUAAACUUAACACAAUGUAGUAAACCUAACUGCAAUAUGUAAAUUCUGUUAAUGAACUUGAAACAAUUUAAUUUCCCUUCCCGGGUGAGGUGACAGUUAACUGCAUUUAUGGGAGUGGUAAUCAAAUGCUCGAGAUGAGUUAUGGAAAUGCUAAGAGAUGCUACCUACUAGCAUUUCAGCCCACCAGAUAAUUUCUCAUUUUGCUAAUAAAUACUAACUCCUACCUCAAUGUAGUGAAGUUUUACAAAUCCUCAUUAAGUUUACAGUAAAGAGAAAAAUUCCACUGGAGCACCACAUAGUCUUGAAAUGCAUUUGAACAACAACAAAAAAAUUAAGAGUUCUAGCAAUUUAGGAAUUACAUAUUCUCCACUAGUAGUAGUAAAUUUUAAAUUCAUGAGCUUGCUUUGAGAAAGAAAUACAAGACUUGUAGAAAUCUUAAAUUAAUCUAGAAUAAGAAAAAGAGUUAUUUUCCUUGGCUUUUAAUUUCUUCAUUAGUUUAAGAAAUAAGGAAUUCUGGUUUUUGUUAACUUAAUACGGGGGGAAAAAAGGUACUUUUAAACUCUGAUCUACAAAAAAAAAAAAAAAAAAAAAAAAAAAGCCCAGAGAUUUGCAGACAUAAUAAAAUUUAUUUCAAUUCCAUGCAUUACGGUAGCUACAAGUGUACUCAUAUGAAACUGAAGGACAAUAACUUCUUCUGUCCAUACAAUGUAGCUGUAAGUGAAAUGAAUGGGAAUUCCACAGUUACAAAGAAACAAAACAAAAAAAAAAACCAAACAAAAAACCCCCAAAGGGUAAAUCUGUUUCAGUUCUGAGUUCUGUAAAUUCAGAUACAGUCACUUGAUUGUGAACUUUUGGGAGAAGGGGUGGCCUUGCCACAAUUAUACAACUGAAAGUGUUCAAGGCCUUCUGAAGAAGCUCUGAAUAUACCUUUUACUACUUCCUACUAAUACUCUGGAAAAUUAAAAAAAAAAAAAAAAAAAAAAAAGCCUUCAUCCUGAUCAUUAGAAUCAGGAUCGCAAUUGUAGACAGUCCACCUUAAAAGUGCAGCUAAAUAGGGUUUAAUUCUGCAGCUCCUUCAAGUUGUACUGAGAGUAAGAUUUACGCUGAACCAGUUUCACUUCUCACUUCCCAAGAAAAAGGUCACCUGUCCUUACAUUGCUUUUUGAUAUGCAAAAGUUUACAGUCUAUGAUUGAUUCUGAUCCUCCUAUAUUUCAAUAUGUGCAAACUCUUGGGGAUUUAAAUAGUCUUUCUCCCUCAGAACUUUCAAACAGCAAGGAUUAUCCAAGCCCUGUAAAUUAAAGGCAGGACAAACUGAAUAACUUACAUAACUGGCACAUUUUAAUUGACCCAGUUCUCCCACAAAAUGCAGCUCUUACAAAUAUUAGUAGGCACUACUGCCACCAAUUUUUGUUUUUGCAGUUUCACUGAUUUACCGGUUGUUGGAAUUCUCUGCAGAUAAGAAUUUUAAAAUGCUGGAUUUUUAUAAAGACAAUGUGUAGUUCUAGUCUGCAAAAUUGACUGUGUCUUAUAGUGAUGUUAAGUCUACCUAAAUUUGCUGAAAAUAUUAAUAAAUGUAAAACUAGUGAAAGUGCCACAUUAGCACAAAUGUUUUUAAUUUUAAAGAUGCACUGAGCGAAGGAAAGGGGCAAAAGGAAUUAUCUAAUUACAAACUUAGUUGAGUGCCUAAUUGCCUCAUUUAAAACCGUGCAUGUGGGGAGGCUGAGAAGUUUAGAAAAAUCCAAGUAUCCAAAUAUCUGGUUACUGGACAGUUAAAAAGCUAAUGCAAUUGUUUGGAUAAAAAACAUUAUUCAAAAGCAAUUCAAAUACUGAAAAAGAUUUCAAAUUGAAUAGUUUUUAUUAACAUGGUAGUCAUCUUUGUAACAUGUGCACACACACUCGCACACUCUGAAUUAUCUGCCUUGAAAAAAAAAAGUCUCUAUAUGUCAGGGGAAAUUAAACAUUAAAAAUCCAUUAGAAUUUCGUAAUUAUAGGCAAUUAUGUCCACAUGACUACAAAGCUAUUGCCGAAUCUUUCCAAGGAAGCAGAAUUUGGGAGAAAAAAAAUUUUGGGGGGAAAUUCAGUGGCAUAGCAGAGCUCUCAAUAUGAGAAAGCUGACAUAAUGUGGACCUUUGCUGUGAAAUUUGUCUUUGCAAAAUAUGGGGAGAAGUUAAUUAAUGGGCAGAAAAUAAGAAGGCGGAGUGAAGUAGGCUUCUGCAGAGUCGGUUUUCCUCACAGUAUUACGCGGGGGUCAUUGAGAAAAAUGCUUAGUCCUUCUCUGGAACCAGUUUCAGAACUUUUCCAAUUGCAAUGGUCUUACCUAAACCAAGGAGACAAACACCACAGUUACAUACAUUGUAGAAAAAAAUAUGCACAAUCCCUUACGAGCACAAAAGCUUUCGCCAGAAACACAGGCUGUCCAGCGUACCAGAAAUAAUAUAGAUAAUAAAUUUCUGUGUUGCAUGAUGAAAGCACCAAUGUAUUUUAGAAGUACUAUAAAAGAGUAAAUAGAAAUAGUAAAACCUGUUGUUUUCAUAUUGGAACAUACAUUACAGAUCACGGAAAGUGUGCUCUGUAUCCAGUUAAGCAGAAUGCAAAGCUGAAUCCUUCUGCCAGAUCUGUUUAUUUCUUUUAAAGAUAACAGUUGUAUCUUUUUGGUCUCUCAAUAGAGAUACUAUGGUAUUUGUAUCCUGGGUAGACAUUCCAGGAUGCAUUAGGAGAACAGUGCUCAUAGUUCUUCAAAUUCAGCCCUUUAUCUCAACAGUGUACCUUUCUGUUAAUUAUUCCUCUAACAUAAAACAUACUAAAUUCUAGCAAGAACUUCAACCAACAAUAAUUUUUAUUUACUUUCUGCUGUUACACAGACACAGUAAUUUCAACUAGAUGUUGGCAAUGCUUCAUUGUCAUGCACAAUCUAUUUGUAAUAACUGUAUUUUUGCAGCACUCUUACCCUCAUCUCUUAAGGUAAAGCGACCCAUCUGAGGGAAAUCUUUGAAUGUCUCAAGGCAGAUAGUUCCUGCUGUCCUUAAACGAGCAAUGCAUACUUGAUCUUGUUUCACAAAGCGAGGCCGUGUCUUACUUUUUUCUCCUGUUUUUUUGUCCACCAAGCAGAUUAAGGCCUGUAAAAGAGGAAAUAAUAUUUAGUAUUAUUAAUAGCUGUGAAUGCUAAAGCAGUGGUUAUUUCUUUUAAGACUUACUGCAUAAAAUAAUCCAUCUUCACUGAAGAUCUGUGCUAACAGCUACAGCCAUUUUUGGAACUUUGUUUCAUUAGUCACUCUAGAGAACUCUUCACCCCGGUAAGUACAUUGACUAGAUUCAUAUCACAACUUACUGUUAUCUCAACUUCUUCAAUACAGGUGUGGAUGUGCAGCACAGCAUUGUAACCUGGGCAGAUAAUGGAUUUGUGCUCAAUUAUCACUAUCUGUAAGAAAAAAAAAAAAAAAAAGUUCAUUUCUCCUUUUCUUCAACUCAUAAGAGAGCAGAGAACAACUAAACAAAGAACUAUUAAAAUGUAAUUCAACACACAAGCAUAACAUCUUUGUUAGAUGAAGACUUGGAGAUGACUAAGUUGUUUCUAACUGAAGAAUUGUUUUGACAAGAUCCUGUUCUUUACGUUAUAGGUGUAUAAAACUUAACUAAGUUACAUUCAAAACAAACAACAUUUUUUAAACUCAGACUGAUGAGGUCAGAAUAGCUUUGUAUAUUAUUGUCAGUUAGUUCAGAGAUACAAUAACAAAUGAGAGGUCUCAAAUGAAACUGCUAAAAAUUAGGUUUGGUGGAACAGGCAAAAUAUUUUGAUGCUUUUUUACCCACUUACACAGCAAUCAAAUGUUAAUUAUUCUACCUGGGCAUCAAACGUGCGUCCAGAAUGACACAGGUUGUUGGAAUCACAGAGAAUAAAUCCUGGCAGGAUCUCUUCCUCUUCAAUUCCCUUCAGUCUGAUCUUUAAAUUUUCACCUGGGGCUACUGAAUCAGUUUCUACAUCAUCAGAAAGGAUUCCAAGAACUUCCACGUUGUGCUUUAGGCAAAAAAAUGCAGUUUUCUGUUAUGAAUAGUUUAGUCUGGUACAAAAUCACUUCAGUAUAACAGGAUUUCAAUAAAUAAACUCAUUAUCAUUUAAUUCCAUUAUAUUCAGUUUUGUAAGCUUCAAAAAACAAAACAUUUGAGUGAUGAGUCAUUAGAAUUCAAAGCAGUGUAUUUAUUAAAAAAGAUUUUAUUUCAUAUAAUUCUAUAUCAUAUGUUUAAUAGAAAGAAAGCAGAUUUCAAAAUAUAUCCACUGUGUCUCAAAAUAAAAUUAGUUCAAAAAAUUUACUAAGAUAUGAGAGGGACAAUAGAUGCAAACUGCUAACUAAGGAGAAUGCAACCUAUAUUGUUGUGCAGUCAUUACAUUCCAAAUGAAAUAGCUUGAAUACAAAUGUGAUCCAUGAAAUCCUUCAGUAUCAGAAUUCUACAAGAUCUAUUUUUAUCAUCUUCUCCAAAAAACAGAUUCACGAACGCUCUAAAAAGAAAUAAAAACUUAUUUCCUUGAUCUUUC